rnacentral:rRNA from 1 species
GACGAACGCUGGCGGCGUGCUUAACACAUGCAAGUCGAACGGUGAAGCUCCAGCUUGCUGGAGUGGAUCAGUGGCGAACGGGUGAGUAACACGUGAGCAACCUGCCCCUGACUCUGGAAUAAGCGCUGGAAACGGCGUCUAAUACUGGAUACGAGAAGGGCCCGCAUGGGCACUUUCUGGAAAGUUUUUCGGUUGGGGAUGGGCUCGCGGCCUAUCAGCUUGUUGGUGAGGUAAUGGCUCACCAAGGCGACGACGGGUAGCCGGCCUGAGAGGGCGACCGGACACACAGGAACUGAAGCAGGGAGCAGACUGCGACGGGAAGAAGCAGUGGGGAAAAUUGAACAGGGGGAGAAAUCAGGAUGCAACGACGAAGCGAGAGCGAGAACGGCAGUCAGAUUGGAAACCGCUUUCAGCAGAGAAGAAGCGAAAGUGAGGGAAGCAACAAAAGAAGCACCAGCAGACUCCAUC